GGGUUGCCAAAAAUCUCUGCUUCUUUCUUUUCUUUGUUUGCUUCUGCAGGAUUUGGCUUUGAAUCAUCUCUUCUGGAAAGCCCUUGCCCACCCUGCUGACAAGGCCACUAGAAGGGCCCAUGGUGGAGCUGCUUGUGGAAGGUAGAACAGGAUGCUGUGCUGUCUGUUGACUUUGACACUUCCCUGGGGACUGUGGCCGAGAGCAGCUGUAGAGGCUCCAUCGUCCUGUUUCCAGCAGGGAGUUUCA
rnacentral:lncRNA from 1 species